ACAAUCCUAGAGAUAGGACGUUCCCCUUCGGGGGACAGGAUGACAGGUGGUGCAUGGUUGUCGUCAGCUCGUGUCGUGAGAUGUUGGGUUAAGUCCCGCAACGAGCGCAACCCUUGAUCUUAGUUGCCAGCAUUUAGUUGGGCACUCUAAGGUGACUGCCGGUGACAAACCGGAGGAAGGUGGGGAUGACGUCAAAUCAUCAUGCCCCUUAUGACCUGGGCUACACACGUGCUACAAUGGAUGGUACAAAGGGCAGCAAAACCGCGAGGUCGAGCCAAUCCCAUAAAACCAUUCUCAGUUCGGAUUGUAGGCUGCAACUCGCCUACAUGAAGCUGGAAUCGCUAGUAAUCGCGGAUCAGCAUGCCGCGGUGAAUACGUUCCCGGGCCUUGUACACACCGCCCGUCACACCACGAGAGUUUGUAACACCCGAAGUCGGUGGGGUAACCCUUCUGGGAGCCAGCCGCCUAAGGUGGGAUAGAUGAUUGGGGUGAAGUCGUAACAAGGUAAGCGUAGAUGA
rnacentral:rRNA from 1 species